UCUCCGUUGGUGAACCAGCGAAGGGAUCAUUACAGGAUCGAAAGACUCCUAUAACCCCUGUGAACUUACUACAAAUACGUUGCUUCGGCGGGUGCCCCGGGUCUCCCGGGGCGUUCAGCCCGCCGGCAGCCUUCAAAUUCUGUUUCUUUGCGUUGGCAUCUCGAGUAUACAAAAAUAAGUUAAAACUUUCAACAACGGAUCUCUUGGUUCUG
rnacentral:misc_RNA from 1 species